rnacentral:rRNA from 1 species
GGUUAAGCGACUAAGCGUACACGGUGGAUGCCCUGGCAGUCAGAGGCGAUGAAGGACGUGCUAAUCUGCGAAAAGCGUCGGUAAGGUGAUAUGAACCGUUAUAACCGGCGAUGUCCGAAUGGGGAAACCCAGUGUGUUUCGACACACUAUCAUUAACUGAAUCCAUAGGUUAAUGAGGCGAACCGGGGGAACUGAAACAUCUAAGUACCCCGAGGAAAAGAAAUCAACCGAGAUUCCCCCAGUAGCGGCGAGCGAACGGGGAGGAGCCCAGAGCCUGAAUCAGUGUGUGUGUUAGUGGAAGCGUCUGGAAAGGCGUGCGAUACAGGGUGACAGCCCCGUACACAAAAAUGCACAUGCUGUGAGCUCGAAGAGUAGGGCGGGACACGUGGUAUCCUGUCUGAAUAUGGGGGGACCAUCCUCCAAGGCUAAAUACUCCUGACUGACCGAUAGUGAACCAGUACCGUGAGGGAAAGGCGAAAAGAACCCCGGCGAGGGGAGUGAAAAAGAACCUGAAACCGUGUACGUACAAGCAGUGGGAGCCCUGAUUUAUCAGGGUGACUGCGUACCUUUUGUAUAAUGGGUCAGCGACUUAUAUUCUGUAGCAAGGUUAACCGAAUAGGGGAGCCGAAGGGAAACCGAGUCUUAACUGGGCGUUAAGUUGCAGGGUAUAGACCCGAAACCCGGUGAUCUAGCCAUGGGCAGGUUGAAGGUUGGGUAACACUAACUGGAGGACCGAACCGACUAAUGUUGAAAAAUUAGCGGAUGACUUGUGGCUGGGGGUGAAAGGCCAAUCAAACCGGGAGAUAGCUGGUUCUCCCCGAAAGCUAUUUAGGUAGCGCCUCGUGAAUUCAUCUCCGGGGGUAGAGCACUGUUUCGGCAAGGGGGUCAUCCCGACUUACCAACCCGAUGCAAACUGCGAAUACCGGAGAAUGUUAUCACGGGAGACACACGGCGGGUGCUAACGUCCGUCGUGAAGAGGGAAACAACCCAGACCGCCAGCUAAGGUCCCAAAGUCAUGGUUAAGUGGGAAACGAUGUGGGAAGGCCCAGACAGCCAGGAUGUUGGCUUAGAAGCAGCCAUCAUUUAAAGAAAGCGUAAUAGCUCACUGGUCGAGUCGGCCUGCGCGGAAGAUGUAACGGGGCUAAACCAUGCACCGAAGCUGCGGCAGCGACGCUGAUGCGUUGUUGGGUAGGGGAGCGUUCUGUAAGCCUGUGAAGGUGUGCUGUGAGGCAUGCUGGAGGUAUCAGAAGUGCGAAUGCUGACAUAAGUAACGAUAAAGCGGGUGAAAAGCCCGCUCGCCGGAAGACCAAGGGUUCCUGUCCAACGUUAAUCGGGGCAGGGUGAGUCGACCCCUAAGGCGAGGCCGAAAGGCGUAGUCGAUGGGAAACAGGUUAAUAUUCCUGUACUUGGUGUUACUGCGAAGGGGGGACGGAGAAGGCUAUGUUGGCCGGGCGACGGUUGUCCCGGUUUAAGCGUGUAGGCUGGUUUUCCAGGCAAAUCCGGAGAAUCAAGGCUGAGGCGUGAUGACGAGGCACUACGGUGCUGAAGCAACAAAUGCCCUGCUUCCAGGAAAAGCCUCUAAGCAUCAGGUAACAUCAAAUCGUACCCCAAACCGACACAGGUGGUCAGGUAGAGAAUACCAAGGCGCUUGAGAGAACUCGGGUGAAGGAACUAGGCAAAAUGGUGCCGUAACUUCGGGAGAAGGCACGCUGAUAUGUAGGUGAAGCGACUUGCUCGUGGAGCUGAAAUCAGUCGAAGAUACCAGCUGGCUGCAACUGUUUAUUAAAAACACAGCACUGUGCAAACACGAAAGUGGACGUAUACGGUGUGACGCCUGCCCGGUGCCGGAAGGUUAAUUGAUGGGGUCAGCGCAAGCGAAGCUCUUGAUCGAAGCCCCGGUAAACGGCGGCCGUAACUAUAACGGUCCUAAGGUAGCGAAAUUCCUUGUCGGGUAAGUUCCGACCUGCACGAAUGGCGUAAUGAUGGCCAGGCUGUCUCCACCCGAGACUCAGUGAAAUUGAACUCGCUGUGAAGAUGCAGUGUACCCGCGGCAAGACGGAAAGACCCCGUGAACCUUUACUAUAGCUUGACACUGAACACUGGUCCUUGAUGUGUAGGAUAGGUGGGAGGCUUUGAAGUGUGGACGCCAGUCUGCAUGGAGCCGCCCUUGAAAUACCACCCUUUAAUGGCUGGUGUUCUAACGUAGGCCCCUUAUCGGGGUUGCGGACAGUGUCUGGUGGGUAGUUUGACUGGGGCGGUCUCCUCCUAAAGAGUAACGGAGGAGCACGAAGGUUGGCUAAUCCUGGUCGGACAUCAGGAGGUUAGUGCAAUGGCAUAAGCCAGCUUGACUGCGAGCGUGACGGCGCGAGCAGGUGCGAAAGCAGGUCAUAGUGAUCCGGUGGUUCUGAAUGGAAGGGCCAUCGCUCAACGGAUAAAAGGUACUCCGGGGAUAACAGGCUGAUACCGCCCAAGAGUUCAUAUCGACGGCGGUGUUUGGCACCUCGAUGUCGGCUCAUCACAUCCUGGGGCUGAAGUAGGUCCCAAGGGUAUGGCUGUUCGCCAUUUAAAGUGGUACGCGAGCUGGGUUUAGAACGUCGUGAGACAGUUCGGUCCCUAUCUGCCGUGGGCGCUGGAGAACUGAGGGGGGCUGCUCCUAGUACGAGAGGACCGGAGUGGACGCAUCACUGGUGUUCGGGUUGUCAUGCCAAUGGCACUGCCCGGUAGCUAAAUGCGGAAGAGAUAAGUGCUGAAAGCAUCUAAGCACGAAACUUGCCCCGAGAUGAGUUCUCCCUGACCCUUUAAGGGUCCUGAAGGAACGUUGAAGACGACGACGUUGAUAGGCCGGGUGUGUAAGCGCAGCGAUGCGUUGAGCUAACCGGUACUAAUGAACCGCGAGGCUUAACCUU